CUAACACCAACUGGGGAAACUAAACCGACUUUCUUAACCAAAUACAACAACACAGCAAUUUUUUUAAUUUUAAUUUUAUUUUUUUUAUGUUGACAUGGAGGACCAACUGAAACAUCAUGCUGUUUGCCAUACCUGCUUGAGAACAGACAGUUCCAUAAAUAAGGUCAUAAAGAUGUACUGGUCCAUACGGAUGCCCAUAUGCAUACUGUUUUUAACCCUGUUUGCCUUCGAAGUGGCUUCUGCUGAAACAUUAUGUGGAGGAGAGCUGGUGGACGCACUACAGUUUGUGUGUGGAGAAAGAGGUUUCUAUUUCAGUCGACCAACUAGCAGGUCGAAUAGUCGACGUUCUCAAAAUCGUGGGAUUGUGGAAGAGUGUUGUUUUAACAGUUGUAACCUAGCUCUUCUAGAACAGUACUGCGCUAAACCUGUCAAGUCAGAGAGGGACGUUUCAGCCACAUGCCUACAGGUCAUCCCGGCGAUGCCUGCAUUAAAACAGGAGGUCCCAAGAAAACACGUGACCGUGAAAUAUUCCAAAUACGACGUGUGGCAACGAAAGGCCGCCCAGAGGCUACGGAGGGGUGUCCCCGCCAUCCUGCGGGCCAAGAAGUUUAGGCGGCAGGCGGAGAGAAUCAGGGCCCAGGAGCAACUGCACCACCACAGGCCUCUCAUCACGCUUCCCAGCAAGCUGCCGCCCAUCCUUCAUCCGACAGAAGACUACGUCAGCCACAAGUGAAACCAGGAUCAUUUGCACAGAGUCGAUGAAAAAAAGACUAGGGGAUCAAAGCUUUUUUUGUCUCUGACGUCCUUUCUGUGGCAGUCCUCAACAACCCUUCUUCCUUCCCCACCAGACGUGCUCACACGCUCUUCCAGUUUCUAUUCUUGCUGUUUCAUUCACCAACAAAAAGUCACAUCACAAACGAAAGGAACGCAAUUCAGGUGAAGAAGCAAAGGAAAGAACGAAGAAGCCACGGAACGCCGAACGUUUCGCCGGUUUGGAGGACAUCGGAGCGCGAGGAACAGCUUGAGCUAGCAUGAAAGAACCCAUUCCACCGCAUUCUCCCGAGACAAAAGUAUCUCUCUUUUAGUCCUUUUACAUAUUAGUUUGCACCUGUAACUAUAAAGGGACAUCCACACUGUAAGGAAUUGUUGUAAAAUUAGAUUCCUGUUCCAGCACCUUGUAAUCACAAAUGAAAAGCAGAGAAGAGUCUGCAAAUUGCACAUCGCCACGGAUUACGUCAAAGUUCUUGUUAAGUAAAUAAAAAAGGCACUAUUUUUUUAUGGACUAUGAACGUGUAGCUCAAAAAAAUGUCAUGGUGCUAGCUUUGGGAACGGACUCAAAGGAGAAGGGGUUGAAAAAGCACUUUUUUUUUUUUUUUUUUUCCUUUGAAACUUUAUUAAACUUUCCGUUUUAAGGAAAGUGUGACUUUUGAAAGAGAAAACAAGAGCACGAGGGAUAUCGCUGCAUGCAGACGUGUACGUAAGACGCAACGUAUGCAUUGGAUCCUGGCGCUGCCGUUGCGGUAAAGGAAGGAGCAGUGUGGGGACGCCGAAGGGAUCACGUUCGAGCACCUGGAUGUGGAGAACUCAGCUCCUUUCGAGCGUGGCUGCACAAAACCCCUGCUUUGCACUGCAGGAUGAGGGACAUUGUGAUCUUGAAAAAGUGGGAUGUUUGUAUUUUCUAUGUUCUUUUUCGUGAAAAUGCUUCAAGGAAAAAAAGAAAAGAAAAAAAAAAAGAUCCAGUUUGGUUUCUGGUACCGUGACAUUCUUGUUGUUGCAAAAUAGGCUUUGUGUUUUUGUAACGUUAUUUUACAGUUCUGAAAAAAAAGGCACAAAUAUCAAUUCAAAGGGAAAAAACGCAAUAAUGUCAACUAACAUACAUUUUUAACGUUUAUCCGUAGUAUUCACAUGCUUUUGCCUGAAAACAAAUACUUGAAUAUAUAUAUAAAUAUAUAUGAAAUAAAUAUGAAAAUAUAUAUUAUAAUUAGUUUCCAGGGACAUCAUGUAAUAUUCUUUUAGUCUGAGCUGUAUCUUGCGUAAUGAGCCUCCAAGCUUCUUUUUGUUUGUUCAUUUAAGUACAAAUAUGGGCACUGUAUAAAGGCAUUAUUUAUUUUGUUAUAAAAUUAUAUAUUACAAUCGGUCCAAAUACAGUAAUAUACAUAGCACUGAUGCUCAACUGAUGGAUUUUAUUUUAUAUGCUCUCUUAUUUUCCCAUUUUACAUGUAAAUGCUUUUUGUAGAUGCUUUGUACCAAAAAAAAAA